AGUGAACGCUGGCGGCAGGCCUAACACAUGCAAGUCGAACGGCAGCACAGUAAGAGCUUGCUCUUACGGGUGGUGAGUGGCGGACGGGUGAGGAAUACAUCGGAAUCUACUUUUUCGUGGGGGAUAACGUAGGGAAACUUACGCUAAUACCGCAUACGACCUACGGGUGAAAGCAGGGGAUCUUCGGACCUUGCGCGAUUGACUGAGCCGAUGUCGGAUUAGCUAGUUGGCGGGGUAAAGGCCCACCAAGGCGACGAUCCGUAGCUGGUCUGAGAGGAUGAUCAGCCACACUGGAACUGAGACACGGUCCAGACUCCUACGGGAGGCAGCAGUGGGGAAUAUUGGACAAUGGGCGCAAGCCUGAUCCAGCCAUACCGCGUGGGUGAAGAAGGCCUUCGGGUUGUAAAGCCCUUUUGUUGGGAAAGAAAAGCAGCAGGUUAAUACCCCGCUGUUCUGACGGUACCCAAAGAAUAAGCACCGGCUAACUUCGUG
rnacentral:rRNA from 1 species